rnacentral:misc_RNA from 1 species
CAGUUGGGCAUAGGACAUGGCGAGGACCAUAGGUGAUGCGACAAGACGGCGCAAAAGCGUGGCCCUCAUCAAUUUUUGGCGGGCGGCACGCGUUGACUGCGACACAAAUAUAAGUGGUACACAAUCCAAUGCAGUGCUUAAGCAUAAACCGCGUGUUCGUUGGAUUAGACGCAGGCCAAAUGCCGAUAAACUACAUCAACGUAAGGUCAAAGAAGUGCUGCAACGCGCCAAUCGCGAGGAUUAUGUGCACAACGGUUCAUUUCUGGAGGCCAUCAAGCCAGUGUUAAUCAUUGCCCAAGUUUUUGCUCUAAUGCCUGUGCGCGGCAUAACUUCAAAGCAUGCGGAGGAUUUGAGUUUUAGCUGGAUGAGCUUACGCUCUUGUUAUUCGAUGAUCGUCAUCGUAUCCUUUGGUAUCGUGUCUGGUUUUAUGGCGCUGUUUGUCAUGCGUAUCAACUUCGAUUUUGACUCGGUGCAAACUUUAAUCUUCUAUGGCUCCAUAUUCGCUAUCUCUUUGGCCUUCUUUCAGCUGGCCACCAAAUGGCCAGCUGUUGCCUUGGAGUGGCAGAUGGUGGAGUCACAGCUGCCUAAAUUGCGUACAGAGAAAGAACGCUCUGCAUUGGCUUUUCAUAUCAGAAUGAUUAUAUUGAUAGCUAUGAUGUGCUCGCUGGUGGAACAUAUCUUGAGCAUGCUGUCCAGUAUUUAUUAUGUGAAUGCCUGCCCUGUGCUGCCGAAUCAGCCCAUCAACAGCUAUUUAUUUAUAAAUUUUUCAAUGUUUUUCACAUUUGUCGACUACACUCCAUUUCUGGGUUUAAUUGGGAAAGUGAUCAAUGUGCUGGCCACCUUUGCCUGGAGCUUCAAUGAUAUAUUCGUAAUGGCCGUCAGCGUUUCUCUAGCGGCACGUUUCCGUCAGCUAAACGACUAUAUGCUCAGAGAAGCCAGAUUGCCCACUACCGUUGAUUACUGGAUUCAGUGCCGCAUUAAUUUUCGGAAUCUUUGUAAACUCUGCUCAGUUCUGGAUGAUGCUAUAUCCAUUAUAACACUCUUAUGCUUCAGCAAUAAUCUCUACUUUAUAUGCGGCAAGAUCUUAAAGAGCCUGCAGAAAAAACCAUCUGCAUCGCAUACGGUAUACUUUUGGUUCUCGCUGGGCUAUUUACUCUGUCGCACUUUAAUACUCUCGCUUUAUAGCGCCAGCGUUAAUGAUGAAUCCAAGCGUCCAUUGCGCAUCUUUCAGCUGGUACCCAGGCAGUUCUGGUCCAGUGAGGUAAUGGGGCUUUAUAUGAAAAUAUUAGAAGCAAGGCUUAAAUCGAAGCGACUUAAGCCCGGAAUUCCAGUUUAUUUUUCAAUAUGAACAUUACUUUAAACCAAAUGCCAAGAAAAUGGUGAGGUCGGAACCAUAUAAGAAGCUCUUAAGGGAGAUUUAGUCUCAAACAUUGUAUUAAUCUAACCAAAUUUGAAGAGAUAUUUUUAUGACAAUAUUUAUACUCAAGCGCUUUUCGGAGGAAGUGCACAUGGAUCAGGUGGCCUUAACUGGCAUGAAAUUCUUUCGGCUUACACGUGGCGUGG